rnacentral:lncRNA from 1 species
GGUAGUUAUUUGGUAGUGGGUAGUUAAACAGUAGUGGGUAGUUAUCUAGUAGUGGAUAGUGGCAUAGAUCAUGGGUCCAUGCAUAGUUGUGGGAAGUGGCAAAGAUCAUGGGUCCAUGUAUAGUAGUGGGAAGUGGCAAAGAUCAUGGGUCUUAAUUUAGGCUAUAUAAAGCGUCUCUUUUUCUAUAUUGUACACACAGAUUAUCAAUUAUUCAAUACAAUUGCUUUAUGCGAUUCUUCUUUGAGAGCUUAAGAGAGAUCUUGGUUCUUGACAUUGCAUCACGAAUAAGGUUUGAUACUAACUUGUAUAUUUCUUAUUCUUGCUGCUCUUAAAAUCAAUCCAUUAUAAGUGUUCUUAAUUGCAUGUUAAUUAAGGGUGCUUUAGAUUGGGGAAUUAUUUUCUAAAUUAAGUUC